rnacentral:tRNA from 2 species
GGCACCAUAGUUGAAUAACAACAUUAAAUUGCAAAUUUAAAGGAGUACCUUGAUACUAGUGCCU